UUAAAGGAAUUGACGGGGCCCGCACAAGCGGAGGAACAUGUGGUUAAUUCGAUGAUACGCGAGGAACCUUACCUGGGCUUAAAUGGGGAGUGACAGCUGUCGAAAGAUGGUUUUCUUCGGACACUCUUCAAGGUGCUGCAUGGUUGUCGUCAGCUCGUGCCGUGAGGUGUCGGGUUAAGUCCCAUAACGAGCGCAACCCUUACCGUUAGUUACCAUCAGGUUAAGCUGGGGACUCUAGCGGGACUGCCACCGUAAGGUGAGAGGAAGUGGGGAUGACGUCAAAUCAGCACGGCCCUUAUGUCCAGGGCUACACACGUGUUACAAUGGCCAGUACAAAGGGCAGCUACCGGGUGACCGGAUGCUAAUCUCUAAAGCUGGUCUCAGUUCGGAUCGAAGUCUGCAACCCGACUUCGUGAAGCUGGAUUCGCUAGUAAUCGCGCAUCAGCCAUGGCGCGGUGAAUACGUUCCCGGGCCUU
rnacentral:rRNA from 1 species